GACGAACGCUGGCGGCGUGCCUAAUACAUGCAAGUCGAACGCUGAAGAGAGGAGCUUGCUCUUCUUGGAUGAGUUGCGAACGGGUGAGUAACGCGUAGGUAACCUGCCUGGUAGCGGGGGAUAACUAUUGGAAACGAUAGCUAAUACCGCAUAAAAUUGAUUAUUGCAUGAUAAUUAAUUGAAAGAUGCAACUGCAUCACUACCAGAUGGACCUGCGUUGUAUUAGCUAGUUGGUGAGGUAACGGCUCACCAAGGCGACGAUACAUAGCCGACCUGAGAGGGGGGUCGGCCACACUGGGACUGAGACACGGCCCAGACUCCUACGGGAGGCAGCAGUAGGGAAUCUUCGGCAAUGGGGGGAAACCUGACCGAGCAACGCCGCGGGAGUGAAGAAGGGUUUCGGAUCGUAAAGCUCUGUUGUAAGGGAAGAACGGGUGUGAGAGUGGAAAGUUCACACUGUGACGGUAGCUUACCAGAAAGGGACGGCUAACUACGUG
rnacentral:rRNA from 1 species